rnacentral:rRNA from 1 species
UGCGUAGGCGGUCUUUUAAGUCAGGAGUGAAAGGCUACGGCUCAACCGUAGUAAGCUCUUGAAACUGGAGGACUUGAGUGCAGGAGAGGAGAGUGGAAUUCCUAGUGUAGCGGUGAAAUGCGUAGAUAUUAGGAGGAACACCAGUAGCGAAGGCGGCUCUCUGGACUGUAACUGACGCUGAGGCUCGAAAGCGUGGGGAGCGAACA